rnacentral:rRNA from 1 species
GAAUGCGAUGCUACCUGCAGUCGUACGGCUAACAUAAAUUUAAAAUUAUUUAAAUUUGAUGGCAAGUGGCGAACGGGUGAGUAAUAUAUCAGAAUGUGCCUAAGAGUGGGGAAUAGUUUUUAAUACCGCAUAAUAAUCUAAUAUUGAUAAAAAUAGGGGAUAUAUUUUAUUUAUAACCUUAUGCUCUUAGAGCAGCUGAUACCUGAUUAGUUAGUUGGUGGGGUAAAGGCUUACCAAAGCUAUGAUCAGUAGCUGAUUUGAGAGAAUGAUCAGCCACAUUGGAACUGAGACACGGUCCAAACUCCUAUGGGAGGCAGCAGUGGGGAAUUUUGGACAAUGGGGGAAACCCUGAUCCAGCAAUAUCGCGUGAGUGAAGAAGGCCCAAAGGUUGUAAAGCUCUUUUGUUAAGGAAGAAACAAUUUUAAUUAAAACUUAAAAUCUAUGACGUUACUUAAAGAAUAAGCACCGGCUAACUACGUGCCAGCAGCCGCGGUAAUACGUAGGGUGCAAGCGUUAAUCGGAAUUAUUGGGCGUAAAGAGUGCGUAAGGUGGAUAUAUAAGAUAAAUAUAAAAUCUCUAAGCUUAACUUAGUACAUAAAUUUAUUACUAUAUAUCUAGAGUAUAUCAGGGAGGAACAGAAUACAGCAUGUAACGGUAAAAUGUUCUGAUAUGCUAUGUAGAAUACCAAUGGCGAAGGCAGUUCCUUGGGGUAUUACUGACACCAAAGCACGAAAGCGUGGGGAGCAAACAGGAUUAGAUACCCUGGUAGUCCACGCCCUAAACGUUGUCUACUAGUUACCAAAUAUAUUAUGUGAUUUUAUAACAAAGCUAACGCGUUAAGUAGAUCGCCUGGGGAGUACGGUCGCAAGAUUAAAACUCAAAGGAAUUGACGGGGACCCGCACAAGCGGUGGAUGAUGUGGAUUAAUUCGAUGCUACACGAAAAACCUUACCUACCCUUGACAUAUUUUGUAAUUUUAAGGAAACUUGAAAGUGCACAGGAAAUAAAAUACAGGUGCUGCAUGGCUGUCGUCAGCUCGUGUCGUGAGAUGUAGGGUUAAGUCCCAUAACGAGCGCAACCCCUAUUAUUAGUUGCUUGAAUUAUAUAGCUCUCUAAUAAAACUGCCAGUGUUAAAUUGGAGGAAGGAAGGGACGACGUCAAGUCCUCAUGGCCCUUAUGGGUAGGGCUUCACACGUCAUACAGUGAUAUAUACAAAAUGUGCGAAUUUGUAAGAAAGAGCUAAUCAUCAAAAAUCUG